rfam:Gossypium raimondii chromosome 4, whole genome shotgun sequence.
AACUCAUGAUGAGGGCACCGUCUCAAUAAAUCCUUGUAUCUCUCCCAUGCAUCGUAUAAAGUCUCUAAAUCAAUCUGAAUAAAGGAAGAGGUGUCAUUCCUCAACUU